CUUUCGCCAGUCAUGUCCUCAGCAACCUGCUUGACACAGCCAGGAUCGUAAGUACCUCUACCUCAUCAUCGCCGUGUCUUAUACAUUGAUGGUUUGCUCGUUGGCCGGCGGACCAUCUGAUACUGACACAUGUUGUGAAUUGUGAUCAUGGCGCAGCACUUGAAGGGCCGAUUCGGAUGGAGGCUGGCAAAGAAGCUCGCUUCGCUACUAGUCUAUCAACUGGGUCUGAAAGUAGGGAACUCCAACGUCCUGCGGGUGGUGUACUCCUUGAAUCGGAUGGGCAUUAGACUAUAGUUACCGAUUCUGUGUUCUUACAAUGUUGUGGAUCUCAAGUUUUCUGGGGAAGGCUCGAUGUGGCCAUGGUGCCUUGGUUCGAAUUGUCAGUGCGAACUUGAUAUGUACGUCCGUACCGUACUACAUAAUUGAUGUCCGUUUAUGUUGCACGCAGCAAACAAUGUUGAGUAACGAAUUCGUCUCCCCUUGAAAGGUUACUUUGAAGGCU
rnacentral:lncRNA from 1 species